CAGCCCUACGGUUUGCUCAGGUCCGCCGCAUCUCCUGAGUUCCGUGGGGUUCGGCCGGUCUGGGAGUGAUGCGAGUGGCCUCCUCAUGACAUCGCUCCCGGCCGGCCACCCU
rnacentral:sRNA from 1 species